GGGCGAGUGAUGGAAAGGCAGACAUGCAAGACUUAGGAUCUUGUGGGGACAACCCCGUGAGAGUUCAAAUCUCUCCUCGCCCA
rnacentral:tRNA from 1 species